UAUUUUACCUCCCUCACACAGCUGUCGCAGGUGUGUGCAUCCCCCUGCCAGCCAUGGCAUGUAAUCAAAGUUGUGGAUGUGUGGUUGGAUGCUCACUAUUGGCAUGUUUCUUACAUCAGGACCCCCUCCUCCCAGGGUGGUUUUAGCCCUUUCCCAUACUUGUAUCAAUAUCCUCGUCGGAGGCAACAUGUCCGCGGUUGUCGGGCUUAGUACAUGAGGUGUCCAGUAUAUG